rnacentral:rRNA from 1 species
UACGGAGGGUGCAAGCGUUAAUCGGAAUUACUGGGCGUAAAGCGUGCGUAGGCGGUUCGUUAAGUCUGCUGUGAAAGCCCCGGGCUCAACCUGGGAAUGGCAGUGGAUACUGGCGAGCUAGAGUGUGAUAGAGGAUGGUGGAAUUGCCGGUGUAGUGGUGAAAUGCGUAGAGAUCGGCAGGAACACCCAGGGGGAAACCAGCCGACUGGGCAUCUACUGACGCUGAGGUGCGAGAGCGUGGGGAGCGAACCGG